rnacentral:snRNA from 1 species
AACGAGGUCUUUCGUUUAAGAUCAAAGUGUGGUAUCUGUUCUUUUCAGCUUAAUAUCUGAUACGGUCUCUACGUGAGACCAUCGAUAUUAACCUGAUUUUUUGAACGAGGCGAAAAUUUAGGUACUUGCUUCGCCUGUGCCACGGGUUAACCCCAUGGUGGUGCUCCACCAUGA